CUUCACAGACAAAAACAAACACCACCACCACCAUCCUCACCACCAAGAAUACAAGAAAACAGAUUCAUGAACUUCCCUUCCUUCAUGAGGAAAAAUGCAUUGCAAUUAGAUUAGACUAUAACCGUUCAGAAAGAAAGGAGCUGUUUGGCUCUCCGUGUGAUUACCAAAGCAGAGCGAAAGCCUUCAACUGCGGACUGCUGCAAUUUCCACCAUAACAGUCAACCCAGCAAUUAGAACCGUUUGUUACAGUGACAGCCGGGAGAACCAUUUUCAAGCAAGGAGGCUGAGGAGCCAGAGCUGGAGGAAGCCAGAGCCUGCUCAUUCGAAGGGGACUAACGCCACACAGCAGCUAAUCCUGGAAUAGCAGGCAGUUUUGGGAACAGGCUGAGAGGGGCUGCGAGAGCCACAUCCAUCCUGGAACUUUUGGGAAAGGUCUGAUCUGCCUUUUUCCAACCAGAAAUACACCUGGAUCAUGAAUUUUGAUUUGGGGGAAGAGUCAAAAUGUUUUUAUUUAAUCUGCAUUCUAAUUUAGCUUAUUUCAAUAUUAAAAAUGGAGGUUUGGAGGUGAGCAAUUCUAUUGUUGAUUCUGGAUUUGAGAAAGUAUUCUAGGGCUCAGAAAAAUAUCUCACAAUAGAAAGUUUGCGAGAACAAUCAUAUUUACUUUAGAACAAAGGUAUUUGAAAUGUAACCUCAAUGUCUUAAUUUAUUGUCACCAUUUCAUUUUUCCUUCUCUUUUUUUUGUCUAUUAUAGAUUAUGUUAAAAGUUUAACUGGUAGCUUGGGAGAAAAUGCUGGGCUUGAUAUCCUCCUUUUUCUCUUCUUUCUUUCUUGCUUUUGUCCUUUCUUCCUUGUCUUCUUCAAGUAUACUCUUUCAUUGUCACAGGAUUCCGUUCUUGAUUUCACUAAUGACAAAGUACACAACUCCAGGACGUGUAGGUUCUCUUUGGAUUUUGUAUCUCCCUGUGUCAAAUAAAGCAAUAAUCCUCCUCAUUUA